GGAUCUUUCCUUUAUACAGCAGUUACACAACUGAAUGUAACCAAUUAACAAAUUCAGCUGUUGCCUCUAACUUCCUCAACAGCAUUUCCCUCCAAAACAUUCUCUACCUGACCCUUAUUCUCCUUAACAUUAUUAUUUCUCUUCUUCUUUCUAUAGUAUGUAACAUCUUGCCAAUAAUUUUUUGUCUUAGCUCGCCUGAGCCUUUUAGACCCACACAUGCUCCUGCUAAAACUUAUCUCACCCGUUGUAGCACUAUAAUGACAUGGUUACUUCCCGC
rnacentral:misc_RNA from 1 species